rnacentral:lncRNA from 1 species
AGAGGCCACACUCAUCGUAGCAGAGAGGCAGGAACAGCUGGGCGAGGGUCCUUCUGUGACAUCUACUGCAUCACUGGGCUCUGUGAAGUGACUCAGCUGCCAGAACUCACACAAUAUUCUGCACCAAAACCUCACGGGAAAAAUGCAUCACGAACCUCAGACUUAAACAGCACAACAGGCUCCUCCCAGGUCUCCAGCUACACAACCCUCAGACUUAAACAACAGCAGCGGCACCAGCUCCUCCCUGGGUCUCCAGCUCCACAAACCUCAAAUUAGAACAGCAGCACUGGCUACACCCAGUCUCCAGCUCUACACCUCUAACUUGAACUACAGCCACCAGCUCCUUCCUGGGUCUCCGGCUCCACAGACCUUAAACGAAAACAGCAGCACUGGCUCCUCCCCAGGUCCCCAGCUACAGACCCUCAAACAAGAAGAACAGCAGCACCAGCUCCACCUAAAGUCUCCAGCUCCACACCUCAAACUAGAACUUCAGCACCCGCUCCUCCCCGAGUCUCAAUAUCUGUGACCCUCAAAAUAAAACAGCAGGACCAGCUCCUCCUCUGGUCUUCAGCUUCACGACCUUAACUGUAACAGCACCACCCGCUCCUCCGGGGUCAACAGCUCCGACGCUAAAACUAGAACAGCAGACCAGCUUCUACCUAAAACACCAGCUCCGAGACUCUCAAACAAGAACAGCAGCACUGACUUCUCUCACCAGGUCUCCAGCUCCACGAUCCUGAAACUUGAACGGCAGCACCCGCUCCUCCCCGGGUCUCCAGCUCCACGAACCUCAAACUUGAACAGCAGCACCCGCUCCUCCCAGCGUCUCCAGCUCCAUGAACCUCAAACUUGAACAGCAGUACCCGCUCCUCCCCGGGUCUCCAGCUCCACGAACCUCAAACUUGAACAGCAGCACUCGCUCCUCCCAAGGUCUCCAGCUCUGCGAACCUCAAACUUGAACUGCAGCACCUGCUCCUCCCCGGGUCUCCAGCUCCACGAACCUUAAACUAAAACAGCAGUACUCACUCCUCCCCAGAUCCCCAGCUGCAGACCCUCAAGCUGCAACAGCAGCACCAUCUCCUCUCCAGGUCUCCAGCUCCAUGGACCUUAAACUAGAACAGCAGCACCAGCUCCUCCUUGGGACAACAGCUCCAAGACCCUCAAACUACAACAGCAGCCCUGACUCCUGCCCAGGUUUACAGCUCCACAAACGUCAAACUUGAACUUCAGCACUAGCUGAAGUCUCCAGCUCCCUGACCCUCAAACUAGAACAGCAGCACCAUCUCCUCUCUGGGUCUCCAGCUCCACGAACCUCAAACUUGAACUGCAGCACCUGCUCCUCCCUGGAUCUCCAGCUCCACGGACCUUAAACUAAAACAGCAGUACUCGCUCCUCCCCAGGUCCCCAGCUGCAGACCCUCAAACUGCAACAGCAGCACCAUCUCCUCUCUGGGUCUCCAGCUCCAUGGACCUUAAACUAGAACAGCAGCACCAGCUCCUCUCCUGGUCUCCAGCUCCAGGACCCUAAAACUAGAACAGCAGCACCAGCUCCUCCUUGGGACAACAGCUUUAAGACCCUCAAACUACAACAGCAGCCCUGACUCCUGCCCAGGUUUACAAACCUCAAACUUGAACUUCAGCACUGGCUGAAGUCUCCAGCCCCAUGACCCUCAAACUAGAACAGCAGCACCAUCUCCUCUCUGGGUCUCCAGCUCCAUGGACCUUAAACUAAAACAGCAGCACCAGCUCCUCCCGAGGUCCCCAUCUACAGACCCUCAAACUACAGCAGCACCAGCUCCACCCAAAGUCUCCAGCUCCCCACCUCAAACUAGAACUCCAGCACCCGCUCCUCCCCGAGUCUCAAUAUCCGCCACUCUCAAACAGCAGCACCGGCUCCUCCCCUGGUCUUCAGCUUCACGACCCUAACUAUAACAGCACCACCCGCUCUUCCGGGGUCAACAGCUCCAAGACUCUAAAACUAGAACAGCAGACCAGCUUCUACCCAGGUCACCAGCUCCGAGACUCUCAAACUAGAACAGCAGCCUUAACUUCUCGCCAAAUCUCCAACUCCACGACCCUUAAACUUGAACUGCAGCACUUGCUCCUCCCCAGGUCCCCAGCUACAGACCCUCAAACUAAACAGGAGCACUGACUUCUGCCCACAUAUCCAGCUCCACGAACCUCAAAGUUAAACUUCAGUACCAACUCCUUCCCGCGUCUCCAGCUCCACGACCCUCAAACUACAAUAGCAACACUGGCUCCCCAAUCCCAGGUCUCCAUCUCCACGACCAUCAAACUUGAGUUGCAACACUGGCUCCACCCAAAUUCUCCAGCUCCAGGAUGCUAACUGUAAUAGCAGCACCAGCUCCUCUGCAGGUCACCAGCUCCAAGACUCUCAAACUAGUACAGCAGCACUGACGCCUGCCCAGGUUUCCAGCUCCAUGAACCUCAAACUUGAACUGCAGCACCACCUCCUCCCUGGUUCUCCAGCUUCACGACCCUCAAACUAGAACAGCAGCACCAGCUCCAACCAAAGUCUCCAUCUCCACGCCUCCAACUUGAACUCCAGCACCAGCUCCUUCCUGGGUCUCAUGAUCCAUGACCCUGAAAAUAAAACAGCAGCACCAGCUCCUCUCUAGGUCUCCAGCUCCACGAACCUCAAAUUUAAAAAGCAGCCCUGGCUCUAACCCAGGUCUCCAGCUCCACCAUCGUCAAACUUGAACGGCAGCACUAGCUCCUCCCAAAGUCUCCAGCCCCACGACCCUAAAACAUGAAGAGCAGCAUUGGCUCCUCCCCAGGUCUCCAGCUCCACCAUCCUCAAACUUGAACUGCAGUACCAGCUCCUUCCCGGGUCUUUAGCUCCGUGACCCUGAAAAUAAAACAGCAGCACUGGCUUUUCCCCAGAUCCCCAGCUCCACGACCCUCAAAUUUAAAAAGCAGCACCAGCUCCUCCCUGGGUCAGCACCUCCAUGACCCUCAAACCUGAACUGCAGCACUGGCUCCUCCCCGGGUCACCAGAUCCCAGACCCUCAAACUAGAACAGCAGCACUGACUCCUCCCCAUAUCUCCAGCUCCAUGACCAUCAAACUUGAAGACUAGCACCAUUUCCUUUCUGGGUCUCCAGCUCCACGACCCUCAGACUUGAACAGCAGUGCCAACUCCUUUCUGGGUCUCCAGCUCCACUAUCUUCAGACUUGAACAGCAGCACCAGCUUCUCCCCAGGUCUCCAGCUCCAUGACCCUCAAACAGGAACAGCAGCACCGGCUCCUCCCUGGGUCUCCAGCUCCUCAAGUCUGAGGAUCAUGGAGCUGGAGACCCAGAAAGGCAAUGGUGCUACUCUUCAAGUCUGAGGGUCAUGGAACUGGAGACCCGGGGAGGAGCUGGUGCUACCGCUGUUCAAGUUUGAGCAUCUUGGAGCUGGAGACCCAGGGAGCCGCCACUCGAACGGUAGCUCCUCCCCCAGUCUCUAGCUCCAUGACCCUCAAACUCGAAGAGUAGCACCAUUUCCUUUCUGGGUCUCCAGCUCCAUGACCCUCAGACUUGAACAGCAGCACCAGCUCCUUUCUGGGUCUCCAGCUCUCCUAUCUUCAGACUUGAAUGGCAACACCAGCUUCUCCCCACGUCUCCAGCUCCACGACCCUCAGACUUCGACAGCAAUCCGGCUCUUCCCCUGGUCUCCAGCUCCAUGACCCUCAAACUAGAACAGCAGCACCGGUUCCUUUCUGGGUCUCCAGCUCCACGAUAUUCAGACUUGAAUGGCAGCACCAACUUUUCCCUGGGUCUUCAGCUCCAUGACCUUCAGACUUGAACGGCAGCACUGGCUCCUCCCCUCUCCAGCUCCAUGACCUUCAGACUUGAACGGCAGCGCCGGCUCCUCCCUGGGUCUCGAACCUGCCCAGCCUGCAGAUUUUGGACUUGCUAGCCUUCAGGAUCACAUUAGCCAAUUCCUUAAACUCAACCUCUUUCUCUGUAUGUAGGAUAUGGACACCUCCUGCUGGCUCUUUUUCCGGAGAGCCCAGUGAACACACCGUGCAUCAGGCUCCAUCAUUCACCAGAGCGUCUUUCCAACAGACUUUGCUGUGAUAUUUCUUAAAUAAAGGUCACUCCAAAGACCCUCACCUCUGGAUUGUAACCAACUCAGUGGCAGACUUAAUCCAUUUCUAUCUGCUGACAUUUCUCACAUGGAAUAGGCUGUUUGACAGAUUGAAGCUGUCUCCCCCCACUCCCCAGGCCAGUGCACACUUAUCUCCCUUGAAUGUUCAUUUUGUGCUCAUUUUAGAGACUGAGGCACAAAGACAGGCAAAUACAAGGUGAAGUCAGUGACAAAUAAACAAUGCUAUUUAGGCAUUGAGAGUUUGUUUUUGUGUUUGUGUUUUUUUGCUAAUUAAUUCCACCUGGUAGAGGAGGGCGAGGGGAAAGAGGAAGGGAGAAGUUUCCUGGCAGGGCUGAGAGGCAGAAUGGUGCCUGCACCUCCUGGAGUGCACGGCAAUGGUCUGGCUCUGCUGCCUUCUAUGGGUAAGGGCCCACCGGUUUUUUUUCUGGGACUUAAGUCACCUGGGCUUAUACUGAGCAGCCCUCAGCAAGCUCUUCUCACUUGCCCCUGCCACCCAGAGCUCCAGGAUGCCCUAGUUCCUGCCCCUCAAAGACCUGGGACUCCUGCUCCUGGGACCUUCUGGUCGGUUCUGCUUUUCCUUGCUUCAGGACCUUACGUGGAUUCUGUCACCUGCCACCUCAGAACUCUGAGCGACACACCCACUGCAUGUCACCCAGGACAGGUUCACCCAAGUCUUUCAUCCCAAGAAGGUCCUUCCUGGCACCUUGUGGGCUGACAGCAUCUCCAGGGAACCACAGGACUUCGAGGGGGCCUGGGAAGCAUCAAGAGCUUCAGGAGGGGAGUCUGUCACAGGUGGGGAUUACGGAGCCCUGCAGGGACCCUUAGAACAGGUGGGUCGGGGUGGGGCUGAGGUCUCGACGCCUUGAUUCAGGUUCCUGGCUUAUGUCGACCUGUCUGAAAUCUCCCACCCACAGCCAAGCCACUGGCCACCCCACUGCUGCCCUGUGUCACCCUGUUUUGAUGGAGAGCUCACCAGGCUCUCCCAGCUGCUCUCCUCUUGGAGCAGGGAGUGUUGGAAGUGGGGGGCUGAUCUGCAUAUGAACGUGGCUCUUAACCAGGUGAGGGGCUUGAAGUCCUCUGGGGCUAAUGACUGUUCCAUGAAUAAUGGUCCCUCUUAAAAUGUAAUUAAACAUUUAUCAGAUGUAUUUCUACAGAAACAUCCAUCUUAAGGGGGGACCGGAUUUCCUACCAUUCAUAUCAGUCUCCUGAAAUGAGGCAGAGGCACUCCCGGCUCCCCCUCCCCUCCCCGGCCUCAGUUCCCUGGGCCGGAUGUCCUGCUGGGGCCUGUGGUGCAGUUUCGGCUGGUUCACCCCAUGCAGAGCUUGAUGGGGUUGGGUUGGUUUUAAUCAGAAUGGUAAAUUGCAAAUGAUACAGGGCCUGGGCUCUGUUGGGAUACUUGUGUUGACCAAGUCCCUUGUGAAUUAAAUCAUUUAAUACUGGAAAUGGAAAAGGCCCCCUCAUUUUCCUUCUGAAUGAGCUGUGAAAUAGGCUCUGAGAACGGCCUCCAGAGUGAAGU